CUGGCCACCAAUGUAGAGGGGGGAAUAUUAAUUACAAAUGUUUAUGCAAAUAUCAAUCAUUAAUAUUCAUAAAUAGGAGGAGCCGUCUACCGAUGACUCCGCCUAUUUAUACCUUUAUAUUAAAAACACUACUUUCAC